rnacentral:rRNA from 1 species
AGAGUUUGAUCAUGGCUCAGGAUGAACGCUGGCGGCGUGCCUAACACAUGCAAGUCGAGCGAUCUUCUUCGGAAGAGAGCGGCGGACGGGUGAGUAACGCGUGGGUAACCUGCCUCAUACACAUGGAUAACAUACCGAAAGGUAUGCUAAUACAAGAUGAUAUAAGAGAUUCACAUGGAUUUCUUAUCAAAGCUCCGGCGGUAUGAGAUGGACCCGCGUCUGAUUAGCUAGUUGGUAAGGUAACGGCUUACCAAGGCGACGAUCAGUAGCCGACCUGAGAGGGUGAUCGGCCACAUUGGAACUGAGACACGGUCCAAACUCCUACGGGAGGCAGCAGUGGGGAAUAUUGCACAAUGGGCGAAAGCCUGAUGCAGCAACGCCGCGUGAGCGAUGAAGGCCUUCGGGUCGUAAAGCUCUGUCCUCAAGGAAGAUAAUGACGGUACUUGAGGAGGAAGCCCCGGCUAACUACGUGCCAGCAGCCGCGGUAAUACGUAGGGGGCUAGCGUUAUCCGGAUUUACUGGGCGUAAAGGGUGCGUAGGUGGUUUCUUAAGUCAGGAGUGAAAGGCUACGGCUCAACCGUAGUAAGCUCUUGAAACUGGGAAACUUGAGUGCAGGAGAGGAAAGUGGAAUUCCUAGUGUAGCGGUGAAAUGCGUAGAUAUUAGGAGGAACACCAGUAGCGAAGGCGGCUUUCUGGACUGUAACUGACACUGAGGCACGAAAGCGUGGGGAGCAAACAGGAUUAGAUACCCUGGUAGUCCACGCCGUAAACGAUGAGUACUAGGUGUCGGGGGUUACCCCCCUCGGUGCCGCAGCUAACGCAUUAAGUACUCCGCCUGGGGAGUACGCUCGCAAGAGUGAAACUCAAAGGAAUUGACGG